UUUUUUUUUUUUUUUUUUUUUUGUCUUUUUACCUUUUUGCCAUUUCUUGGGCCGCUCCUACGGCAUAUGGAGGUUCCCAGGCUAGGGGUCAAAUCGGAGCUGUAGCCACCCGCCUACGCCGGAGCCACAGCAACGCAGGAUCCGAGCUCACGGCAACGCCGGAACCUUAACCCACUGAGCAAGGCCAGGGAUCGAACCCGCAACCUCCUGGUUCCUAGUCAGGUUUGUUAACCACUGACCAAGCCGGGAACUCCCCUCUGCUUCCACUUUUAAUACACAGCAUCAGUAUUGAAUGGCCCUGAACAGGCAAGUUUUGUAUUUUAGAAAACACUCUUCUAUCUCUCUGACAUGCUUCUCCCAUUAAUCCUUUUCUAGUUAAUAUUGUCUUAUAUUUCAAAUUACAGUUCAAAUAUCACCUUUUUUAGGGAAUCCUAAAUCUUUCACACCAUCUUGUCUGGACAGAAUUAAUCACUCAGCCAUACAUACUCCCAUGAAUGUAUUAAGGCAUUUAAAUUCAAUAUAUAUCAUUUAAUAAGAAGCUAUUUUGUAUUAGAAAUUUUAUGGUUUUCUCUAUACAUGCAUAUAUUCUCAGUACAAGACUAAAAGCUUGUGACGUCUAAGGAGCACACCAUUCUUUUCUGUAUUCAGGAUGCUUAGCACAGGGCCUGGGAUUUAGUAUCAAUAUAUGCUUACUGAAUUAACCCAUUUACAUGGCCUUUGAAAUAUUGCCAUUCUGGAGUGUGUACAUCAUUCUACACAGAUAGCUUAUGAAUCUAAUCACCAGGCUUCUUUGUAACAUUCUUUAGUUACAAUAAUUACUUUUCAUUGUAACAGGUUAUCACGUGCAAUUUCUAAAAGAAUGCAUAUUCCUCAAGGAGAGAAAAGAUGAGUAAAUCACAUUUCCUGUAUAGCCUAAGAAAUUUGACCUCUACUUAUGGAUAGUUUCACAUGUCUUUCAUUAUCUUUUAGGAAGCACUUAGACUACAAAGAAUCAUUACAACAUAGUGGCCUAGAAUACGAAGUUGUAAUCAGAGAAAGAUGCCUUUCAUUUCCAGUUCCAUGACUUUGUGCUGUCUUUGUUGUGUAAACAUUUCUGUGAGUUAUUUUAGCUCUCUCAACUUAAGUUCACUUGUUGGGGGGUGGGUAAGGGAGGGAAGGAUAAUAUGUUGUUUAUUAGUGUGAGCCUUAAACUACGUAUAUGAAACACUAAUAGAGAAGCUGCACAUAGUAAGUACUCAAAUACUCAAAAGAAAAAAAAUCUAUUUACCACCCACCAUUUGCCCCACAUAAAGCUGAGAGUAUCAUGAGAUCUAAUAAAAUUUUAAAAAUAUAUAUUUAACCAUGUUAUUUUUCUCAAGAAAAUCACUGCCUUGCUCAGAACUAAAACUUGCUCAUAGGAAACUACUAAAUAAAAAAAAAUAUGACACAUUGUUUAAUUAUAAAACAUGUUGCCUGAUUCAGAAUGUGGUAUGAUGACAGUAGUUUAGAGAAAGGAAAGAAAAUUGUGAAUUAUAGAAAUCCUUGUGUCUUUCUAUGGAAAGCAGUGCAAAAGAAAGGCAGAUGAAGGUUGACACAUCCCAGAGAUGUGGCAGGGGAAUGGAAACGUAGUUUUAGAACUACUGAAAUACGAUCUCAAAAUAAAAUAACUCAUAAUAUCCCUUCCUUUUUUUCUUUUCUGAAUUUACUCAAGAUGUUGUGGUUUUAAGCACAUUGGACCAAGCACAUUUGGGAAGUGCCUUUGCUGUGUUGUCUGAAGUCCUGGCAAUCGAUGGAGGUAAAUAUCACUGCCACCAACUUCAAAAGUGUGUACUAACUACAGUCUCAGAGUCAUUUAUUAUUUUUUGAUGUAGGGUCACUGAUUUUGAGCCAUGUUCUGACAGACUUCCUAAAGGAAACCCCAAACACUACUAUAAGAGGAAGAGGUCACAAUCACUUCCUUAUUUUCUUGAAUCGUGAUUUAUUGACCCAAAAGGAACGGAGGCUAAUGAUGCACAAAGAGUGUUUAUUAUUAGAUAUUCAAUAUAAUAUUCAAAGUGCAUGGAAUUUUCUGCAGGCAUUUCUAAGAAUAGUUAUGAAGUACAUGUCUGUGCGAUCAUGCUGGGAUGAAGAGGCGUGUGCUGAUGCAACUUACAUUACACAUGAAUUUUAAUUGUACUGAUUUCCACUACAUAUAAAUACUCUUGAAAAUAUGACCAUUCUAAUUUGGUUUGGUAAACUCUGCCACAUCAGUUUACAUAUUUCUCCUUUUAUUUUAUCAUUUUACUUCCUUCUCCAAAUAGUUUGCUAAAUACUUGCUAACUUGCCUCAUGGGAGUGCUAUGAAAAGUGACAGUGGAUAUAUAUUUCUCCCUGGCUGUUGUUCCUCAAAGCCAAGCCCAUUAUGAGGAACAUGCCUCUAUGCACUGAGAUGUUUAAGGAUAAGCACAGACAUGCAGAGGAUCAAAGAGUAGAAAAUAAAUGUUGUUCCAGGAAAGUACCCUCAAGAAGGGGUUCAACUUUGGCCUGGAGAGCUGUGUGACAAAUGUCUGGAGGACAAGUCCUGGGCACUGGGAUUUCCAGCCUCACUGUGCCCCAUGAAGCGGUAGAUCCAGUGGACCUGAGGACCCAUGUAAACUGAGGCCAUACCAGGUUCUCUCCAAGGAUUCAAAACUAUGUAUUUACUUCUAGGUGUUGAAGCUCCGAGAAGGGCUGAGGUUGAAUCCUCCAAAGUUGGAGGCUAUGAAGACUCAAAAUUAAAUGAUAAAGGAUUUAUAUAGAUAUAUUUCUGUGAAUUGUUUUUCAGAGUGCCACACAGGGACUGCCUCACAAUAAAGGGUUUUGGCAUCUUUCAAGUUUCCAAAGGGCAUACCAAAGGACACUCAAAGAUCUGUCAUUCUACCCAGAAAACUGUAAAAGAAGUAGUGCCCACGUGCCACCUAUAGAGUUAACUUCUCACUUUUUCUUUAGAGAAACCAAAAGGGAUUUUUUCAUUGCCCAUGUGAUAGAUUAAGUAUAAUGGUGGGCUCUAAGAUUUAGGUGUUUUUCAAGGAUAAACCGUGACCCUUGCAGUUAAUGAGUAUAUACAGUUAAUCUUUGAACAAAGCAGGUGUUGGAGGUCAUGACCCUCUAAGCAAGCAGAAAUCAGUACGAUUUAUAGCUGGCACCCAAAUCUGUGGUUCCUCCCAAUCCACAGAUUCAACUAACCGCAGACCACAUAGUGCUGUAACAUUUUCUACUGAAAAAAAUCCAAGUACAAGGGGAUGAUGCAGUUCAAACAUAUGUUAUUCAAGAGUCAACUGCAGUUUGAAAGGAACAAAUGCUAAUGUCAAGGGAAAUGUGUGUGUGGCACUUAUAAACAUUUCCUGAGGAUUUCCAUGGACCAGGAACCGUGCAGUAGAGGAUUUCAGCAAAUUGACCUCAACAACCAUGCCAAAUCACGUCAGAAUAGUCUUCCCCUAGUUGUUGGCAUAUCCUGCUGUGGCACCUUCUUCACGUUGUUACAGAAACAUCACCUUCCAGCAAAGCCUUCCCUUGCUAUCUUACCUAAAAUUGCAACUUCCUAAUUCUUCCUAUUCCUCUUUUGCAGUUCAUUUUUCUCCUUAUCACUUAUCAUUUACCUAAUAUACUGUACAUUUCAUCUACAUUGUUUACUAAAUAGUUUAUGCUUAUGAAGGCAGGGAUCUUGACUUUUUUUGUGUACUCCUAUAUCCCCAAUCCUAAUGCAAGACCUU
rnacentral:lncRNA from 1 species